UGGGGGAAUAUUGGACAAUGGGGGGCAACCCUGAUCCAGCCAUGCCGCGUGAGUGAUGAAGGCCCUAGGGUUGUAAAGCUCUUUUGUGCGGGAAGAUAAUGACGGUACCGCAAGAAUAAGCCCCGGCUAACUUCGUGCCAGCAGCCGCGGUAAUACGAAGGGGGCUAGCGUUGCUCGGAAUCACUGGGCGUAAAGGGUGCGUAGGCGGGUCUUUAAGUCAGGGGUGAAAUCCUGGAGCUCAACUCCAGAACUGCCUUUGAUACUGAAGAUCUUGAGUUCGGGAGAGGUGAGUGGAACUGCGAGUGUAGAGGUGAAAUUCGUAGAUAUUCGCAAGAACACCAGUGGCGAAGGCGGCUCACUGGCCCGAUACUGACGCUGAGGCACGAAAGCGUGGGGGAGCAAACAGGAUUAGAUACCCCUGGGUAGUCCACGCCCGUAAACGACGAAUGCCAGCCGUUGGUGGGGUUUUACUCACCAGUGGCGCAGCUAACGCUUUAAGCAUUCCGCCCUGGGGGAGUACGGUCGCAAGAUUAAACUCAAAUGAAUUGACGGGGUCAUAGCUGUUUCCU
rnacentral:rRNA from 1 species